CUAGGGAAGGAACGAGAGCUUUGCAGUAUGGACAGAUACUCUGCUCAGUUUCUUUCCAACGCGUGUUUUUAUGGUUCUUGGUCAAAUCCCCCUCCUGGGCAACUGUGGCGUCGCUGGCCAGUGGUGGUGACCCUUUCAGAGCCUUCAAUGUUACAAACACUCCGCUGCGGUACAGGAGCCAUAGGUCGCCACCACUGUUCCAGGCUGUUUCAUCCGAGCUAUUCUAUUUUGUCAAUAUCUGUGCCUACGUCCCAGUUUUAACUACGAUGGGUUUAUAUGCUUCCUUGUUCUUCUGGGAGACACCCAAGAGAUUCUCCAACUGGAUAUAAACAAGGAAGCAAGGAAGAUGGAGAGGUAGCUAUCCUAUAACCACAGAAGGGGCCAGCUUUGGGUGAAGCUUAGUGUGAACUGCAAAGAAGAAUCACAGGAAGAACCUAGGACAGUGGUGGUGAACCUAUGGUACGCGUACCACAGAUGGGUAUUUGUGCAUUGAAAACUCUAAAGCGUGUGCCAUCACUGACCUAGAACAAUGGUGACCUCAUUAUGUUGCAAAUCAACCCCAGUUAAGUCUGGGGUACCUGUUAUAUGAAUCGGUUUCCUUACUUUUGAACAUGAUUUGAGUUGGGGAUUCUCUUAUACAAACCCAAAAGCAUCCUAAAUGAUACAGUGGAGCUCAUUAACUGCUCUCUUUGAAGAAAUGUUCCAGCCCCUUUAAUCAACUGAGAUUCUUCUUAUUAGCAACCAAACUCAUUCCACUAGUUUCAACAGAAAAGGACUUCAUUAAGGAAUAUUAAGUACCCUGUUGGGUCUCCCAGAGAGCCAGAGAGUCAUCUUUGGAAGAGGUAUACACCUCAAACCUCACACAAAUCACAUCAUGAGGUUCCAGUGAAGACCCAUGGCAAAUGGCGUUCGGUAGACAACUCACUCACCUGGCCCGAUUUAUGAACUGUCCUGCUCAGUAUCAUAUACCUGAAUGUCUACUGCUGUUUCCUCUGAAAUGAGUAUACUUUUAUUGCCAAUCUCUUUAGAAAAUGUAUCCCACCUGCUGUUUGUUUCUUUAUUUGUCUUUUCAGAAAAUAAAUCUGGCACAUAUAAAAUUCA